UGAAAUAGAUUUGAAACAUUAAUUUGCAUAAUGCAUCUGUCCUGCUGCUCUAAGAGCAUUUAUAUCCCUGUGAGUUUAACACUUCAUGACUGAGAGCUGUUCUUCAUGACCACAGAACCCACAACAACCAUGACUUUAAUCACCAUCUUCAUCUGGACACUUGUCUUCUACAUACAAGAAUCCAGAGGACAGUACACUCUGACUCAGACACCUGCAGUGAAAGCUGAUGGCAAUGGAGAGACGGUCAACAUUGGCUGUAAACUCAGCAGUGGUAUAUACAGUAAUUACCUGAACUGGUACCAACAAAGACCUGGAGAAGCUCCUAAACUCCUCAUUUAUUACAUUAACAACAAGUUCACUGGGACUCCAUCUAGAUUCAGUGGCAGUGGAUCUGGGAGUGACUUCACUCUGACCAUCAGUGGAGUCCAGGCUGAAGAUGCAGGAGAUUACCACUGUCAGAGUUUACACUACCCCAACAGUGUCUGGGUGUUCACACAGUGA